rnacentral:rRNA from 1 species
AUUAUGAUAAUGACGUUUUUUGCUUUUAAGUCUUGACCAAGUCACGUGCCAGCAGUCGCGGUAAUACGUGGAAGACUAGUGUUAUUCAUCUUUAUUAGGUUUAAAGCGUACCUAGACGGUAAAUUAAGCCUCAAAAGGGGAACUAAUAAACUAGAGUUUUAGAUAAGAGGGGGAGUACUAAUGGAGUAGAGAUGAAAUUCUGUUAUACCAUUAUUGGAACUGAUGACAGCGAAAGCAAUCCUUUAUGUAAAAACUGACGUUGAAGGACGAAGGCUCGAGACACGAACAGGAUUAGAUACCCUAGUAGUUCGGGCAGACAAUGAUGAAUGUCAUAGGUUAGAAAAUUUUUAGUCUAUAAAUGAAAGUGUAAGCAUUCCACCUCAAGAGUAAUGUGGCAACGCAGAAACUGAAAUCAUUAGACCGUUUUUGAAACCAGUAGUGAAGUAUGUUGUUUAAAUAGAUAUUACGCACAAAACCUUACCACAAUUUGUAUAUUUAUAAGGUUUUCUUAUAAUUACAGGAGUUGCACGGCUGUUUUCAGUUAAUGUCGUGAGAUUUUGGUUAGUUCCAUAAAAUUAACGUAAACCCUUACUUUAUUUAAAAAAAAAUUAACAAUAAAAAAUUUAAAUUUAAAAUAAAGUGGCUCGCCGCUAUAUUGGAUAUGCUAAGAGGGACUAAGACAAGUCAUCAUGACCUUAAUAUUUUGGGCUAA